GGAGAAUGUGGAUAUUAAAAUUUUAACAAAUGAUGAUGUUCUAGGUGAUGCAAUACCUUAUGAUCAGCAAGAUGCAAUGCGCCACCUCUGUUACCAAUUCCUUGAUUUAAUGCCGCCUACGGGAAGAACAAACCCACAAUUUCCUAGUUCACAUCCAGUUUCUCUUAACAGAGAUAAUCUGCAACUACUAAGACAAAGAUACUAUUAUGCUACAUGGAAUG